AAAACGACUCUCGGCAACGGAUAUCUAGGCUCUUGCAUCGAUGAAGAACGUAGCGAAAUGCGAUACUUGGUGUGAAUUGCAGAAUCCCGUGAACCAUCGAGUCUUUGAACGCAAGUUGCGCCCGAAGCCUUCUGGGCGAGGGCACGUCUGCCUGGGUGUCACAC
rnacentral:rRNA from 1 species